GGGCGAGCGAGGCAGAGACACACAGAUGCGCAGUUAGAGAGAGGGAGAGCGGAGGGGAGGGGAAAGCAGACAGGAUUUAGAGUUCAAGUGCACGUGCAGAAAAUAGGGUGAAUAGAGGCGAGCCGGAGCAGAAAGGAAAGCAGGAACAGGAACGGCAGGAACUAGAGAUGAAGCCCACACCGACUCCUUCGAAAAUGGGAAGACUGCCACACUCCUCCUCUAUCCCUCCCUAUUGGAUAUUUCUCCAUUAACCUCCAGUCUCUCUCCUUUCUCUCUGACUCUCCAUUCUCUCCCCUCCCACCUCUUCACACAUGCACACGCCCCGAACUCCUUCCCACUCAUUUCCCUCACGCGCCCUUACUAUCCACUUUCACUGGAGACCAACUGCAAUCCGCUUAGGGUUUUUUUUUCUCCUCUUCCUUUUACUUUUCUUUCCGCAUGCCGUUAUUUCCCUUCAGUUAUCCCUUCAUGUACGGAGGCACCCCCCUCUCAGACGCCGCACUCUUACUAUGUGUGGCGCCCCUGAAAAAAAUGUAGGCCGUGGAUUGUCCCCGCAUUAGACUGCAUGCCACAAACCGCUUGUUCUAUCCUGUCAACAUUUUUUAUUUUUUAUUUUUUUGCUUCUCUUCUGCAGUAUUUUUGUUUUGUUCGGAAAUCGCUUUCUGUGCAGUAAUCUUUUUCUAAAGUCGUGCGUGCAUUGAAAAGCGGAAGCUGGGAGUUGAAGAAAGGAAAAUCGUGUGUGUGGACAUGUGAAGAAGAUAGAGGCAAAAAAAAAAGAAAGAAAGAAUGAGGGGGAAAUGGAGAGCAUGGUCUGCAGUAGAAAGCAUGAAGGACUGGGAAAGAGAGAAAGAGUAUCAGUACUGGCAAGAAAAACAGGAGGAGGAAGAGAGGAACGAGAGGACCAUAAAGGGGGGAUUGACUCAGGAAGGAGGGACGGCCGGAUAGGAAUUGUAUGCAGCAUGUACCUGUCCUUUUCCUCUCCAUUCUUAAAUACUUUAUCCCUUCUCACUCUCCUGUUUUUUGUAGUUGUUUGUUAAAAAAAAAAGAAGCUUGUAAGUUGCCUCUCCCCCUCCAUCCGUCCAUCUAUCCCUCGCUCUUUUCCCUCCUUUAGCUCACUCUGUAUCUUGAGUCUUCGCUCGUUCUCUCCCUCCAAACACACACCUCUGUUCACAGUCAGCAGAGCGCUGUGUUCUCCGAAUACACCCGGUUUCAGAGGGGCCCAUGAAUGGGAGGCUAGCUUGCAGAGGAUUCGGGGUUGAAUUUAAGAUGACGUGGACUCUUGGCAUGCUUUAUAUAAGAUUGAAUUUAAGAUGACCUGGACUCUUGGACAUGUUUUAUACAAGAAAUGCUAUGUCCAACGAUAGACACCUGCCCAGUGAGAAGAGAGGUAAAAGUUGCUUCCUGCUUUAAAGGAUGGGAUCGGGUCCAGGUUCUGCAGAGCGUCUAUGACAAACGGCAACCCAGCUUCUGUGACAACCUCGAGGUCGGCUCUGCGGCUCUCGGCCCGACACCCAGCCAGCGCGUCUCGGCGCUCCCUGGCUCUGCGCCUCGUGCGUAUUUGUGCAUCCCAGGACGGUUGACAUUGAUUGUGCAGGAGACAGACUGAGACACAUUAGUACCCAGCUCGCACUCGCUGCUGAAAAACACAUUAACUGGCUGCAUUGGGAGCCCUGUCUGGUAACCAUGGUAAAGCACACAGGCUGGGAGGAGGCGGCGGGGUGAGACGGGGCAGCGGGUUCAGCGCGCCGUCUCUCAGGGGUUGUCUUUCUCAAACGCUCCUUUCCCUUUCCUCCGGCCACGUCUGUCAUUGUCUCUCAGCCUCUCUUGUCUCACACUGACAGCUUUUCUCUCUCUCUAUUUGUCUCACAUAUUAACACAUUUGCAUAUUUCUUUUUUCUUUGUCUUAGAUUCUUCCUGCUGACCCUGACAUUACCUCAUUCUCCUCCCCCUUAUCCAGCCACCAAGUGCAACAUAAUCUGUCUGCCUCUUGUUGUUUGCCGUCUCUUUUUUUUUGGCCUUCUCGUCUCGGGCGACAUGAUUCCUCGGUGAAGACUGGAGGAACAAACGUGGGAUAAGCUCAGCUAAAAUUACAAACUGUGUGACGAGAGAUUCAGAUUGUGGAAGUUUAUGACGGCAUGCUGAAUUCAUUCAGUCAUUUUAGAUGAAUAAAGCGUCUAAAACAAGCCUGCUGUUGUCAUUUAAUAUUAAUGUUGAAAGUUUGUCCGUAUUGUGCAGAAUUUUUAAUCUUUUUUUCUGUUUUUAUAUGUAUUUUUAUAUUCUUUGAGUGAGUCUAU